GAUGAAGAACGCAGCGAAAUGCGAUACUUGGUGUGAAUUGCAGAAUCCCGUGAACCAUCUAGUCUUUGAACGCAAGUUGCGCCUCAAGCCAUUAGGUUGAGGGCACGUCUGCCUGGGCGUCACAUAUCGUUGCCUGAUGCCAGUUUCCUCGUGAUGGGUGACUGUGCAGGGCGAAUGAUGGCUUCCCGUGAGCAUUGUUGCCUCAUGGUUGGUUGAAAAUUGAGUCCUUGGUAGGGAGCGCCGUGAUAGAUGGUGGUUGAGUGACGAACGAGACCCAAUCAUGUGAGACCCCUACCGAAUUUGGCCUUCAUGACCCACAUGCGUCUUUGGAACGCUCAUGACGAGACCUCAGGUCAGGCGGGGCUACCCGCUGAGUUUAAGCAUAUCAAUAAGCGGAGGA
rnacentral:misc_RNA from 1 species